UGGAUGAUGUGGAUUAAUUCGAUGCAACGCGAAGAACCUUACCUACCUUUGACAUGUACGGAAUCCUUUAGAGAUAGAGGAGUGCUCGAAAGAGAGCCGUAACACAGGUGCUGCAUGGCUGUCGUCAGCUCGUGUCGUGAGAUGUUGGGUUAAGUCCCGCAACGAGCGCAACCCUUGUCAUUAGUUGCUACAUUCAGUUGGGCACUCUAAUGAGACUGCCGGUGACAAACCGGAGGAAGGUGGGGAUGACGUCAAGUCCUCAUGGCCCUUAUAGGUGGGGCUACACACGUCAUACAAUGGAUGGUACAAAGGGUCGCCAACCCGCGAGGGGGAGCCAAUCCCAUAAAGCCAUUCGUAGUCCGGAUCGCAGUCUGCAACUCGACUGCGUGAAGUCGGAAUCGCUAGUAAUCGUGGAUCAGAAUGUCACGGUGAAUACGUUCCCGGGUCUU
rnacentral:rRNA from 1 species